AUGCAAGGCACUAAGCAAAACCGUAUCUUGCGGAAAUUGCUGCACACAGGAAAAACCGCAGACAAUUUAGAAAGCUUUGGCACACAGCUCAGUUCAGUGUCUGAAAGGGAAUGGGAUAGGCUUAGUGGGGCUGAAGAGGAAGCAGAAGAGCUAUGGCAAGCUCAUGGUCUAAAAAGAGACAGGGAAUUAACAUGUUUUAGAGGUGGAGGACCCUAAUAGCAGCUCUGCAAAUACAAUUGUUUAUGUAACGAAUGCCAAAUUUAAAGAAAAAUGGCAGAAGACUUUGGUAGACUUCAUCAGUAUUAGUAAGUCAUUAAGGAUACGUAGCUCCAGUAUUGCAUAAAUUUGUGCAAUAUGCUUAAUAAGAGAGCUCAGGGAAAAGGUCUGAAUGCAGAAUCUCAGCCUGUGGUGUAGUGUGAGCUGGAUUAUGUCUUGCAGGAAACUUUCCUUCACUGAAGAUACUGCUAUAGACUGCUAAGCACAUGUUUCCACCCAAAACAAAGGCAGCUUAGGAAUUUGAGUAUUGUGGGAAGACUGGCUUUGUCUGGGUAUUAUUUUAUGAAAGAAAUAUGUGUGAGUAGAUGAGAGGCAGUUCAGGUGGGGAAGGAAGAGAGAG
rnacentral:lncRNA from 1 species